rnacentral:lncRNA from 1 species
CAGGCAGGACACUUGUCUUGCUUAUUUAAAACUAUUAGCCUUGUUAUAUAGGCCUAGGUCCUUAAGUACUAUGUGGCAGAUCUAGCCAUUUCAAGGGACAUACUAAUGUAUACUCUGUAUUCCUGAUCUUAUGCAUAUAAUUACUAUAAUAGAUGGCACUUAAUGAACUUGUACUACGUACCAGGUACUAGGCUGACAACUUCACAUAUUAUUUUAUUUUGUUUCGUUUCUUUUUCUCUUUUUGGUGAGGAAGAUUGGCCCUGAGCUAACAAUUGUGCCAGUCUUCCUCUCUUUUGUGUGUAAGAUGCUGCCACAGCAUGGCUUGAUGAAUGGUGUGUAGGUCCAUGCACAGGAUCUGAACUACAAACCCCAGGCCGCCAAAGUGGAAUGCACAAACUUAACCACUACGCCACUGGGCCAGCCCUACAUAUUGUUUUUAACCUCAUGCUGUGAACAUAGAAAUUACUGAGGAAGGCAGACUCUUUGCUGCAUAACCUAGACCACACAGAGAAGCUCAGCCCCUCUCUGAUCUCAGCAAUCAACAUUGUCUACCCAAAACAUACUAGUAGACUGUGCUGGAAUGGGUGAGAGUGCAGUGGGGUGCAGGUGGAACAGAGUUCACAUGGCAAGAGAGAAGCCAGCGUUACUCAGUUCAGAAGAACAAGAGUAAAGGGUUGAACUGGCUGCUUCAGCCUGAAACAGCUCUCCUGGGUUGAUCCUGCUGAUUUUACUGUUGAUGGCAGAGAAAGACAAAACAAACACAAAGGCAAUGUGGCAACGAACACAGUCCUAACUGGCUUGAAUUCUUCGGCUUACUCCAGUCUUCAUUUAUCCCAACACUGGGAUACAAGGUUUCCGAGGCCACUUUUUUCUAUGAAAUUCUCCACGUUUUUUGACUUAAAGAAAAACUUUCAUCUUUCAGUAAAGAAUCCAUCCAAAUUUGAAG